rnacentral:lncRNA from 1 species
AAGGACAGAAAGCACUUUUAAGUAACUCUGUAUUGAUGCACCUGGGAAACAAUGUUUAAACAGCUUCCAGCUUUGAUGCCUUUGGGUCCAGUUCAUGUUCCCCAUUGGACUAAACCAAUCAAAUGUGAUUGUAGAGAAGAGAGUAUUUCCUCUACAAAUAUAUGAUAUUCUACUGAAAAAAACAGAACUGGUCAUCCAAGCUUGUAAGAAUAUCAGGAUAAAAAGAUGACUGUCAGAAGAACCUGGGCCUAGAAAAAAAGCUGGAGAUUUUAUUGGAUGACACGAAGUUGAAACC